GGCAAAAAUAAACACCCUCAUGUUUCCUUCUCUGGUCUAGACUUCUGGAAGUCCCAUCACUCUCCUGCAACCCACAGACAAGGGAACAACAUCCAGAGUCUCAAAAUUGUGAACAGAAUUAAUCUGAAGUUCAAACACACACUGUCUUCAGCUUUAUUUUUCCGCCCAAAAGACUGAAUACAAUUUAGAGUUGGUAACCAAGGGAAAUUAAGGGACAUCUCUCCCCCUGGCUCUCGGGGGGACACGGCCUUAACACCCAAAAUGUGGCGCGGCCUGUGUCAGCGCGGUGCCAGGAAGGCGCGCAGGACAGGAGCGAGGAGGGAACAGCCUGCACCGCGCCUGCGCAGCAGACCCGGAGGGGGCGCCCUCUCCCUCCGCAGCCCAGGUUGCCUCGCCCUUCCCUCUCCAGAGCCGCUCCUCCCCUGGGGCUCACCCUGACACACGAGCAGGACGCAGUAGAAAGCCAUGAACCACUGAAUGCUGUUGAAACGCUGGCAGAAGGGGAUCACGAGGCAGCCCAGGCCGCACCUGUCCCCCGCGGAGCCGGCGGACUGCUUCCCCGGCGCCUUCUUGAGCGCGGAGAGCUUGGCCUUCUUCCUCUUUGUGGCCCGGGUGAACCUGAGCAUGGCUUUCGGGAGCACCGUGAGAUCAUUUCACUCGAUACAAACUGAGAUUUGGUGACGCACCAAAGACCAGAAGUGGAAAAGAUACCAACAACCCAAAUAAAAUUUGGAAGAGCAAUAGAGAUGAGGAAAGAAAAAAUAGUUCA
rnacentral:lncRNA from 1 species